UACGUAGGGGGCAAGCGUUGUCCGGAUUCAUUGGGCGUAAAGAGCUCGUAGGCGGCUUAGCAAGUCGGGUGUGAAAACUCCAGGCUCAACCUGGAGACGCCACCCGAUACUGCUAUGGCUAGAGUCCGGUAGGGGACCACGGAAUUCCUGGUGUAGCGGUGAAAUGCGCAGAUAUCAGGAGGAACACCGGUGGCGAAGGCGGUGAUCUGGGCCGGAACUGACGCUGAGGAGCGAAAGCGUGGGGAGCGAACAGG
rnacentral:rRNA from 1 species